CCCUUACCUAAUUACGUACUGAGCCUACAGUGUUUAUCUUUGCAACAAUUUUGAUAUCCUAUAUGAUCCUAACCCACCCUGCAGUCAACUUUUCCUCACCAUGUGGAAGGAAACCGGAGCACCCGCAGAAAAUCCAUCAAUCUUUACGACCAUAUGGAAAUCAGGCUUAUAAACGUCUGCUAUACACGAUAUACACACGUGAAAACCAGGGACGUCGCGAAGCCAUCAACA